AUUGGGUGUAAAGCGCGCGUAGGUGGUUCAGUAAGUUAGGAGUGAAAGCCCCGGGCUUAACCUGGGAAUUGCUUCUAAAACUGCUGAGCUAGAGUACGGUAGAGGGUGGUGGAAUUUCCUGUGUAGCGGUGAAAUGCGUAGAUAUAGGAAGGAACAUCAGUGGCGAAGGCGACCACCUGGACUGAUACUGACACUGAGGUGCGAAAGCGUGGGGAGCAAACAGGAUUAGAUACCCCAGUA
rnacentral:rRNA from 1 species